rnacentral:rRNA from 1 species
CCUACGGGAGGCAGCAGUGGGGGAUAUUGCACAAUGGGGGGAACCCUGAUGCAGCGACGCCGCGUGGGUGAAGGAGUGCUUCGGCAUGUAAAGCCCUAUCGGCAGGGAAGAAGCAAGACGGUACCUGACUAAGAAGCCCCGGCUAAUUACGUGCCAGCAGCCGCGGUAAUACGUAGGGGACGAGCUUUAUCCGGAUUCACUGGGGGUAAAGGGAGCGUAGAUGGGCAUGCAAGCUAGGGGUGAAAGCCCGGGGAACAACCCCGGUUCUGCCCUUGAAACUGGCUGGCUGGAGGACGGGAGGGGCAGGCGGAAUUCCUGGUGUAGCGGUGAAAUGCGUAGAUAUCAGGAGGAACACCGGCGGCGAAGGCGGCCUGCUGGACUGCGACUGACGUUGAGGCUCGAAAGCGUGGGGAGCGAACAGGAUUAGAUACCCCAGUAGUC